GAUGAACGCUAGCGACAGGCUUAACACAUGCAAGUCGAGGGGCAGCAUAGAAGUAGCAAUACUUUGGUGGCGACCGGCGCACGGGUGAGUAACGCGUAUGCAACCUACCUAUCAGAGGGGGAUAACCCGGCGAAAGUCGGACUAAUACCGCAUAAAACAGGGGCACCGCAUGGUGAUAUUUGUUAAAGAUUAAUUGCUGAUAGAUGGGCAUGCGUUCCAUUAGGUAGUUGGUGAGGUAAUGGCUCACCAAGCCGACGAUGGAUAGGGGAACUGCGAGGUUGGUCCCCCACACUGGUACUGGGACACGGACCAGAGUCCUACGGGAGGCAGCAGUGAGGAAUAUUGGUCAAUGGGCGAGGGCCUGAACCAGCCAAGUCGCGUGAAGGAAGAAGGAUCUAUGGUUCGUAAACUUCUUUUGCAGGGGAAUAAAGUGGAGGACGUGUCCUCUUUUGUAUGUACCCUGAGAAUAAGGAUCGGCUAACUCCAUGCCAGCCGCCGCAGUAAGAC
rnacentral:rRNA from 1 species